GGAAACUUGGAAUGACUUUUCAUAGGUUUCCCAGAGACUAUGGGUUGAGGAGGAAUUGGAAGUUUGUCAGCUUAGACCUGGUGUCAUUCCAUCAGUGUUAAACUUCCUGGCUCAUCUUGGAAGAGUAUGUGCCAGAAAGACCACGACCAAGCAGCCUUGAGAUCUUAGGCAGCGUCUCCCUGAGGUCCCUCUCUGUCUCCCCACACAUCCACCAACCACUGGAACACAUCUCCAAAGUUCUGCCGGGCCAGCUCAGCUUCCCCUCAGAAGAAGUGCUGCCACCUGACAGAUGAAGGAGCCUUUUGAGAGGCAGCUGGCAUCGUGAUUGGACUGUACUUUGGUCUGUUCCAAUCCAGCUUCAGCUCCAGAGACGGCAGGCGGGACGAGUCAACGGAGGCCGGGUGGACGAAGGCAUGCAGCUGAGUACAAUCCAGAAAACAACAGAGGAGGAGUGCAGCGGCCCAGGACCAGAACAACCAGAACCAAAGAACUACAGACUCUUCACAACCUGCUCUAACUCUUGGUACAGGACCUCACCACACGGGUCAAGAAGGUUUCUGUCUCAUUUCUACUCUGAAGCUCACCUUCUCCUGCUCAAACUGCUGACAAAUGUUUCUGCUGC
ensembl:lncRNA